UUUUGGGGGUUUUUUGAUCGUUUUUUGUUUUGAUUAGCCAUUGUAUUUAUUGAUUUUUUUUUUUUUUUUAAUUCGGCGUCUUUUGACUUCAUUAGAGCAAAAUGCUUCCUGAAUCUCCACACUCCGGAGGACUUCAGUCUCCAGCCCACCCUCUGCAAAGAUUAUGCUCUCAUUCAAUUCACUGCUUUAUUUCUUCUCUGAACCUCAUGGGAGCCACUGCAUCUCCUCUCACUCCCCUGAGGGAUUUGGGGUUUUUUAGUGUUUUUUAAAACAAAGAUGAAUGUGCUUGUCUCUCUGUGUAUGGGCUCGAAUGUGGAGAGCUGAGUAGAUAACGUGGCUUGGAACUGGCUAAAUGUUGAACAAAGAAUUACCCAGUUCAUCAAAGGAAAUGGCUGUUCCCUUGCCUGAGAUCAGCUGCCUGCACCUUCCUGCUCUGAAAUGGAAUAGCUGUGCCCUGAGUUGACACACAACAUGCCAUCUGGAUAUACACUGGAAAUCCCUCAGGCAGGCAGGUUAUAAAAAGGAAGGUAUUUAUUUUCUGGUGGGGUUUUUUUUUUUUCAUGCAAAAGAAAACUUUGGUUGCCAAAUAAUCACUCAGAUAACACAAUUGUCUGUUAGAGAGAGUUUCCUUCACAUCCACUAAUGCCUAUUUCUGUAGGAAAGAUUUGCAAGGGGAGUGGGACAGAACUUCAUUCAACAAACUUCUAACAAAUGGCACAGAGUUCACACUUUCAGCAUUUUAAUGGCAUGAAGACCAUGCCAACCAUCCUUGAGUUCCAGUUGUGCUAAAUGAAUGUAAGGAAAUACUUAAAAUGUAUGUAAGGAAAUACUUAAAAUCCAUGUUCAUGGGAAAUACAGUUCAUUUUUGAUUUUUUGAAUAGGUAGACACCAAGUGGCCAUGGCAAGACUUAAAAUUAGAGGAGAUACUCUCUGAUUUAUGGAGAUACACAACAUUAUCCACCAAAUACUGCAGAGCAGUAAGAGAACACUGGGCAGUGGAGAAUGAAGCUCCUACUCCUGUAUCUCCCACUGUCUGACUUGAUCUGGGAAUUCAUCUGAGCACCAUCAAUAAUCUACAAUAUAUUUAGAAAACCUCAUUAAACAUUUGGCCUAAUGUGCUUUCGCAAACACCCGUUUGGCUGCUGUCUGAGCAGAGCAGACCCUGGGUCACAGAGCUUGAGAGAAGGGAGUUUUCCCUCAUUUAUUUUUAGUUUCAUUUCCUAGGGAAGUAAGCCAUCUGUGAUCUGUUUCCUUCUGGAAAGUUUUGAAACCAUUCUGAAGUUUGACUUUGCAGAGGCUCAGAGAUACUAAAUACCUCCAGUUUUUGUGGAAGUAAAAAGAGAUCCUGGAACAGGAUAAG